rnacentral:rRNA from 1 species
UGGGGAAUCUUCCGCAAUGGACGAAAGUCUGACGGAGCAACGCCGCGUGAGUGAAGAAGGUUUUCGGAUCGUAAAACUCUGUCUUUUGGGGCGAACGUGAGUAUGGUGAACAAUCAUAGUCAGUGACGGUACCAAAGGAGGAAGCCACGGCUAACUACGUGCCAGCAGCCGCGGUAAUACGUAGGUGGCAAGCGUUGUCCGGAAUUAUUGGGCGUAAAGAGCGCGUAGGCGGGAUAGUCAGUCUGUUGUAAAGUGCGGGGCUCAACCCCGUGAUCGCAAUGGAAACAGCUAUUCUUGAGUGCAGGAGAGGAAAGUGGAAAUUCCCAGUGUAGCGGUGAAAAUGCGUAGAUAUUGGGAGGAACACCAGUGGCGAAGGCGACUUUCUGGACUGUGUCUGACGCUGAGGCGCGAAAGCCAGGGGAGCGAACGGGAUUAGAUACCCCCGGUAGUCCUGGGCCGUAAAACGAUGGGUACUAGGUGUGGGAGGUAUCGAACCCCCUUGCCGUGCCGGGAGUUAACGCAAAUAAGUACCCCCGCCUGGGGGAGUACGGUCGCAAGACUGAAAANUCAAAUGAAUUGACGGGGGUCAUAGCUGUUUCCUG